rnacentral:rRNA from 1 species
UACGGAGGGUGCAAGCGUUAUCCGGAUUCACUGGGUUUAAAGGGUGCGUAGGUGGGUUGGUAAGUCAGUGGUGAAAUCUCCGUGCUUAACAUGGAAACUGCCAUUGAUACUACUGAUCUUGAAUUUUCAGGAGGUAAGCGGAAUAUGUCAUGUAGCGGUGAAAUGCUUAGAUAUGACAUAGAACACCAAAUUGCGGAGGCAGCUUACUACAGGAACAUUGACACUGAUGCACGAAAAGCGUGGGGGAUCAAACAGG